GACUCUCAGUAAUGGAUAUCUCGGCUCUGUCAUCAAUGAAGAACGUAGUGAAAUUUGAUACUUGGUGUGAAUUGCAGAAUCCUGUGAACCAUCGAGUCUUUGAAUGCAAGCUGCACCCGAAGCCAUUCGGUCGAGGGCAUUUCUGCCUGGGCGUCA